rnacentral:rRNA from 1 species
UAAAAGCUACUCUGGGGAUAACAGGCUUAUCUCCCCCAAUAGUCCACAUAGACGGGGAGGUUUGGCACCUUAACAUAUCGGGGUGCCGUAGAAGUGAUUCUACAAGUCGCCAUUGUUUCUUCGUCAUUAAAUAUUUGAAACAUGGAAAAUAAAUCCAGCUCAUAACGGUGAACGCCAUGAUAUAAUCAUAUUAUGGUCAACGCCGUGGGAAGUCUUACCCAAGAACAACAAGACCUCAUCAUCGGAAGCUUACUUGGAGACGGGACGUUGCGUCGUCAAAAUAAACAACGACGAAAACAUCCGUUAUUCGAAGUUAACCAUUCCGCAAAGUACAGCGUGUACGUCGAUUGGAAGUAUAAAAUGCUUCAAAAUUUGGUUCUAACAGGACCAAAAGCUCGACGGACAAAUGGCGAUCGUAUCGCAUAUCGAUUUACGACGCGCAGUUUGCCUCAAUUCGAUAUAUUCUAUGAAACUUUCUACCCAAGCGGUAAGAAAGUUCUUCCUACAAAUAUCGUAUUGUCGCCGCUUACACUUGCUGUUUGGUUGAUGGAUGAUGGCAACUUGAAUCGGAACUCAAUUUAUCUCAAUACCCAACAGUUUACACAGCAAGAACAAAUGAAUUUGCUCUUAUUGCUGAAAAAACAAUGGAAUAUUGACGGUACAUUGAAUCGAGAUAAGAAGUAUUACAGGAUUCGACUUACAAAAGUCGGAAGCGACCGAUAUAAAGACAUCGUUCGUUCUUAUAUUCUGCCAAUCUUCCAAUACAAAAUUGGGUAUUGACCCCGUAACGACUGACCCGAAAGGGGAGGCUCUACUGUAAUAUGUAGGGCAAUACGCUGGCUCUCAUUAGAUAAAAAGCUGCCAUGGCCUUGUAAGCCUAACGCGGCCAAUGAGAUGAAGGCAUAGUCUGACCCUCUUGGUAACAAGGGGUUAGCACAAAGUACAAGAAAAAGUUUGUGUUGUAAUUACGCGAUGUCGGCUCACCCUAUCCUGGGGCUGAAGAAGGUCCCAAGGGUUUGGCUGUUCGCCAAUGAAAAGGAUACGCGAGCUGGGUUCAAACCGUACGGGCAAGCUGCCCGCGGCGGCUUAGUCGAGCAAUCGACUUCGAAAAAAUUGACUAAUAUCGGUGAAGUCCUAACGAUACACAUAUAACCUGUCAUGUGUUAGGAUAAUACCGAGGGAAGUUAUAACUCUUCGAGCAUAGAUGAAUAAACUUACGAUCGCUCAUAGAUCAUAUAUCGCUGGAUUUCUUGAUGGAGAUGGAAGUAUUUACGUUCGGCUCAAACCGAAUGUAACCUACCGUUUCCGCUAUCAAGUGGCUCCGAACAUCGUAUUCUUUCAAUCAAAGAAAGAACGGUCCGGACUAGAAAAUAUUCAGCAGAUACUUGGAAUAGGGUAUUUGCGUGAUAGAAAAGAUGGAAUCGUCGAAUAUACAAUCGGCGACGAAGCGUCUAUUAUUGCACUUCUUACUUCUAUUUAUCCAUAUUUGUAUCUCAAGCGAAAGCAAGCACUCAUAAUGCUUACAAUUCUCAAAAAGAAGAAAUUAGUUGCAAACGGAUCAGAUUUUUUACAGCUUUGCGCUUUAAUUGAUCAAUUCCAAUUGCUAAACUAUUCGAAAAAAAGAAUUCAAACAAGCAGUGCUGUACAAAAAACACUGAUUGCAGAAGGGAUUUUAACCCCGUAGAGACUUGAUAUGUACCAAGGGUACAUAUCGGAUUUGCUGGAUGUUACGAAUUUCAAAGCAAAUAAUACGUCGAUCUCCUUACACAAUAAGGAUGGUGAUAUAGUCCAUGCUUCUGGUAACAGAAGAAUAUAUAAACAGCGCAAGACAGGUUGGACUCUAUCUGUCGCAGGCGUGGAAACUUGAGGAGCGUCCUUCCUAGUACGAGAGGACCGGAAGGGACCAACCUCUGGUGUACCAGCUGUCUAGUUCUUAGGCAUUGCUGGGUAGCUACGUUGGGCUGGUGAUAAGCGCUGAAAGCAUCUAAGCGCGAAGCCCACUCCAAGACCAGGUUUCGUAUGAGAUCCCUCGAAGACUACGAGGUUGAUAGGCGGAAGGUGUACGCACAGCAAUGUGUUGAGCCGAUCCGUACUAAUAUGAUCCAG